AAUUCCUCCCUGGUUCCAUCUGGUGGUCACUGUAGUCUCUUCACAGGAUCAAGAAGUUUCAGAAAAGGGUCAGUCUUGCAGUUCUUGGGUCUGAUGAUUCAAGUAUUUUCAUAACCAGCAGCAGUUUGGGGAUGGCGUUUUUCAAAUACUGAAUCUAUUGAAUUCAAGUGUAUUUGGGGCAUUUGAGCCUCAAAAAUAUAACUGUAAAUUUUUAAUUUGGGAUUAUAACUUAUUUUGAUUAAAAUCAUUUCUAUAGACUGAGAUAACUUUUUAGUUUUCUGCUACUAUCUGAAUAAACUUGUAACUAAUUGAAAUUUCUGUUUCUUCUCCUUGGUGUAGCUUAUCAACCAGCCCAGCCGUAUCCCUUCGGAACAGGGGGGUCAGCAAUGUAUCGACCUCAGCAGCCUGUUGCUCCUCCUACUUCAAACGCUUACCCUAACACCCCUUACAUAUCUUCUGCUUCUUCCUAUACUGGGCAGUCUCAACUGUAUGCAGCACAGCACCAGGCCUCUUCACCUACCUCCAGCCCUGCUACUUCUUUCCCUCCUCCCCCUUCCUCUGGAGCAUCCUUCCAGCAUGGCGGACCAGGAGCUCCACCAUCAUCUUCAGCUUAUGCACUGCCUCCUGGAACAACAGGUACACUGCCUGCUGCCAGUGAGCUGCCUGCGUCCCAAAGAACAGGUCCUCAGAACGGUUGGAAUGACCCUCCGGCUUUGAACAGAGUACCCAAAAAGAAGAAGAUGCCUGAAAACUUCAUGCCUCCUGUUCCCAUCACAUCACCAAUCAUGAACCCAUUGGGUGACCCCCAGUCACAGAUGCUGCAGC
rnacentral:sRNA from 1 species